rnacentral:rRNA from 1 species
UACGGGGGGGGCAAGCGUUGUUCGGAAUUACUGGGCGUAAAGGGCUCGUAGGUGGCCAACUAAGUCGGACGUGAAAUCCCUCGGCUUAACCGGGGAACUGCGUCCGAUACUGGUUGGCUUGAGUUUGGGAGAGGGAUGCGGAAUUCCAGGUGUAGCGGUGAAAUGCGUAGAGAUCAGGAAGAACACCGGUGGCGAAGGCGCUCUGCUAGGCCGCAACUGACACUGAGGGACGAAAGCUAGGGGAGCGAAUGGG